rnacentral:sRNA from 1 species
UUCUACGAUAAUAACAUCUUUAGGUUUAAAAUCAAUGGUAAUGUCACUUCUUGUAUGACUAGCAUAAUCAUAUGUCGGUACUUCUACUGCUUUACCAUUUUUCAAGUCUUUAAGAUU